rnacentral:rRNA from 1 species
GAUGAACGCUGACAGAAUGCUUAACACAUGCAAGUCUUUGGCGAAGCUGUGCUUGCACAGCCUAGCCAAGGCGGACGGGUGAGUAACGCGUAAGGAACUUGCCCCGCAGUCAGGGAUAACAGACGGAAACGACUGAUAAGACCUGGUAAAGUCAGGCGGACUCAUGUCCAGCCUGAUGAAAAGUGAUGCUGCAGGAGAGCCUUGCGUCCUAUUAGCUUGUUGGUGGGGUAACGGCCCACCAAGGCGAUGAUAGGUAGCCGGCCUGAGAGGGUGGACGGCCACAAGGGGACUGAGAUACGGCCCUUACUCCUACGGGAGGCAGCAGUGGGGAAUAUUGGACAAUGGGGGCAACCCUGAUCCAGCAAUUCUGUGUGCACGAUGAAGGUUUUCGGAUUGUAAAGUGCUUUCAGCAGGGAAGAAAAAAAUGACGGUACCUGCAGAAGAGGCGACGGCUAAAUACGUG